CGCGUAGGCGGCCUUAUAAGUCAGAUGUGAAAGUCCACGGCUCAACCGUGGAAGUGCAUUUGAAACUGUGGGGCUUGAGUAUCGGAGGGGAGUGUGGAAUUCCCGGUGUAGAGGUGAAACUCGUAGAGAUCGGGAGGAACACCGGUGGCGAAGGCGACACUCUGGACGAAUACUGACGCUGAGGCGCGAAAGCGUGGGGAGCAAACA
rnacentral:rRNA from 1 species